rnacentral:rRNA from 1 species
UACGGGGGGAGCAAGCGUUGUUCGGAUUUACUGGGCGUAAAGGGCGCGUAGGCGGCCUUCUAAGUCAGACGUGAAAUCCCCCGGCUUAGCCUGGGAACUGCGUCUGAUACUGGAGGGCUUGAGUGCGGGAGAGGGAUGUGGAAUUCCAGGUGUAGCGGUGAAAUGCGUAGAUAUCGGAAGGAACACCAGUGGCGAAAGCGGCUUCCUGGUCCAGCACCGACGUUCAGGCACGAAAGCGUGGGGAGCAAACAGG